rnacentral:rRNA from 1 species
CUGGCAGUGCGUCUUAAGCAUGCAAGUCAGACGGAAUGUAGUAAUACAUUCAGUGGCGAACGGGUGAGUAACGCGUGGAUAAUCUGCCUACGAGAUGGGGAUAACUAUUAGAAAUAAUAGCUAAUACCGAAUAAAGUCAAUUGAGUUGUUAGUUGAUGAAAGGAAGCCUUUAAAGCUUCGCUUGUAGAUGAGUCUGCGUCUUAUUAGCUAGUUGGUAGGGUAAGAGCCUACCAAGGCUAUGAUAAGUAACCGGCCUGAGAGGGUGAUCGGUCACACUGGAACUGAGAUACGGUCCAGACUCCUACGGGAGGCAGCAGCUAAGAAUCUUCCGCAAUGGGCGAAAGCCUGACGGAGCGACACUGCGUGAACGAAGAAGGUCGAAAGAUUGUAAAGUUCUUUUAUAAAUGAGGAAUAAGCUUUGUAGGAAAUGACAAGGUGAUGACGUUAAUUUAUGAAUAAGCCCCGGCUAAUUACGUGCCAGCAGCCGCGGUAAUACGUAAGGGGCGAGCGUUGUUCGGGAUCAUUGGGCGUAAAGGGUGAGUAGGCGGAUAUGUAAGUCUAUGUGUAAAAUACCACGGCUCAACUGUGGAACUAUGCUAGAAACUGCAUGACUAGAGUCUGAUAGGGGAAGUUAGAAUUC